ACUUUUCAGAUGGUUUUUUGUCAAAAAUGAAAGUGGCCGCAUCCGUGUUCAUCCUCAACCUUUAUAUAUAUGUUUUGUAUUUUCAUCAAAUACAACUUACAUUUCAAUAUUAUGAAUGAACACGAAUGCGGCCACUUUCAUUUUAGACGGACACCGUCUAAAAAUU
rnacentral:sRNA from 1 species